CAUAAACACGCACUGGUCGGCCAGCACACGAGGGCGUCGCACACAGGAUCAAAGACAGGGAAGAAGGACCCGGUGCUGCACGCAUACAAUUGCACUCGGCCCGCACCAGCGCGGUGUUGCCGUCGGAAACAAAGGCGCCGCGAUGUAGCCUGCUUGUCGAUCCCUACGGCCCCCAGCCUCUCAAAAGAGGCGAAAUAAAGUCAUGAAAAAGUCG
rnacentral:lncRNA from 1 species